CUCUCGUUAUCAAAUCAUAAGCCAUCUUCUCUCUGCUUAAUUAACCGAACCCUAACUUUUGAAGAAGGUGCAGCAUGCAGGGUCCUACAGGCGACGCUAAUACUCAGCCCAAUAUCAGGCCUCCCACACCAAUUACUAACAUUCAGGCUGUUGCAUGCCCUACCACUGGGCCAUCUUCGCAGACUCAAAGCCCCGAUAAUACCAAGCCUUCCACACCAGUGCCUCACCAGAAGGGGGUCUUUUCCCCCAGGCAACCAUAGUGACAUCGGUGACAUGUGAAAUGGCUUGAUCAAGAAUAAUGGAAGCAAAAUAUAUAUUACAAGGCAGUUACACGUACACACAGUCGCGCACACAUGUUCCGUCGUCAUAUAUACUAUCAACAAAAUUGUUUAUUUUUUUUCUUUUUGGUUUGUUUGUUUUGCCUCUAGGCUUGAUUUGUUGUUCUUGUUUGCUUCCACAAAUACAGCGUUAGUUAUGUAUUCUUUUCAAAGUAGCUUUCAUUUGCAACCUUUCUGUUUGAUGUCUCGUGUCAUCUUGGCAAUAAUAAUGGAAAGUCAAGUGUCUGUUCUGAAUAGUCUAA